GAGACAGCAGUCGCCACGGUAAAACGCAGGUGGCAAGCGUUGUCCGGAAUUAUUGGGCGUAAAGGGCUCGCAGGCGGUUUCUUAAGUCUGAUGUGAAGGCCCCCGGCUCAACCGGGGAGGGUCAUUGGAAACUGGGAAACUUGAGUGCAGAAGAGGAGAGUGGAAUUCCACGUGUAGCGGUGAAAUGCGCAGAGAUGUGGAGGAACACCAGUGGCGAAGGCGACUCUCUGGUCUGUAACUGACGCUGAGGAGCGAAAGCGUGGGGAGCGAACAGGAUUAGAUACCCCCGUAGUCCCUGUCUCUUAUAA
rnacentral:rRNA from 1 species